UACGGAGGGUGCAAGCGUUAUCCGGAUUCACUGGGUUUAAAGGGUGCGUAGGUGGGCAAGUAAGUCAGUGGUGAAAUCUCCGGGCUUAACCCGGAAACUGCCAUUGAUACUAUUUGUCUUGAAUACUGUGGAGGUCAGCGGAAUAUGUCAUGUAGCGGUGAAAUGCUUAGAUAUGACAUAGAACACCAAUUGCGAAGACAGCUGGCUACACAAAUAUUGACACUGAGGCACGAAAGCGUGGGGAUCAAACAGG
rnacentral:rRNA from 1 species